rnacentral:lncRNA from 10 species
AAUGGUUGAUAUCUUGUAAGGAGCCCUCGAUUAGGUCGCAGUUACAUGCAGCUUAGGAGAAGGAGGUAUGAUUAUUAUCUCCACUUUACAGAUGAAGAUACUGAAGCUGAGAGAAUUACGUCACGAAGACCAAGUUACUUGGCUGAUUAUGAUGGAGUUAGGAUUGGAACCCAGGCAGUUGGGUGCCCCAGCCCACUCUCUUAAACCCGGUCAAUAUGUUCUCUUUCCAGAAACAGGAUCUGAAAGCCAAUCGCUGAGCCUCCUGGGCCAUACACUGUCCCACCAUUUCAGAAGAAACUCAGUGAGGAGAGGGCAGGGGGAGAAUAUGUCCAGCAUCUCAGCCUCAUUGUUUUCCACUUGGCAGCCCCCUCCGGUUCAGGAUUCAUUUGAAGCAGCCCACAGGGACGGGUGACACUGAGGAAACAAAACCCAGGCCCUCCGGCCUCCGACCGAGCGGUGCAGAGCAUGCUGGGAGAUCACUUCCACCUGAGGAGCACAAAAGACCCCAGGAGUGGAGGAAGCUGGCCUGAGGCCAACCGGAUGUAGCAGACUUGCUGGGCCCAAGGAGGGAGGUCUGGUGAUGGAGCCUCAAGUACAUAUCCUUCCAGUCCUAAGGUAAACAGCGCUUGGGGCUUUGGCUACAGGGAGGGCGUGGCCCACUGAAGUGGCUGGUACAAGGUGGGUACAAGGCAGGCCUUCUGAUUUUUUUUUAAACUGUCUUAUGAAUUAUACUGUACCUACAGAAAAAACACAACAGGAAACUUAAAUGAAUGGCUCAGUGGAAUUGCAAACGUUUGCCCAGAUCAAGACCUAAGAUGUUAGCACCUUGGAAGUCUCCCUCCUGCCCUCUCUAAAUUGUUAUCCUUCAUCCAUCCCUGUCCCCAAAAGUGACCUCUUUCUGGAUUAUAAACAUCAGUUUUGUCUGCUUUUGCACUUAAUAGAAAUACAAUGCAUUCUUUUGUGGCCGAUUUAUUUUCCCAAACACUGUGUAUGCAAGCUUCCUCUCUGCUGUGUCUGAAGCUUUUGUUUGUUUAUCACCGCAUGUCAUUUUGUUGCAUGAUGAUAUAAUUAUUGAUUGAUUCUUCUGUUGAGGGGUAUUUGAUGUAUUUGGGGGUUCAUGUGAAUAGUAUCAUUAGUAAUAUUCUUUUUGCUCUCUCAGUACGCUCAUUUCUGUUAGGUACGUACCUAGGAAUGGAAUUGCUCAGUUAAAGCAUGCAUGUAUAUUUGUAUGCAUGUCAAAAUGUUUUCAAAAGUGUUUGCACCAAAUUAGAUUCUUACCAUCAAUGUGUAAGAGUUCAGGUUGUUGCACAUCCUUGCCAGCACUUCGCAUCGUCUGUGUUUUGAAUUGGUAGCAGUUCUGGUAAGUGUGUAGUAGUAUCUCACUGUGGCUGUAACUAGCAUUACUAUGAUUAUUAUUGAGGCUGACUAACAGUUUACAUGUUUGCCAUUCUUUUGGAGAUCUUUUAUGAAAUGCCGUUUAAGUCUUCUGCCCAUUUUUAAAAACUGGGUUCUCUCUCUUUUUCUUACUGAUUUCUGAAGCUGUUUACAUAUUCUGAAAAUGAGUCUUUACUAGGUGAUAAGUGUUGCAAAUAUCUUUUUCUUUUCUGUUACUUGACUUUUCACUGUUUUAAUAGUGUGUCUUUAUGAACUGAAGUUCUUAUUUUAUAUACACAUACACACACACAUAUAUGUAUAUAUUUCCUUUAAAUUUGAGUUUUGGGGGGUGUCUUUUGUUUUUGUUUAAGAAAUCAUUCCCUGCCUGAAUAAAAAUUAAAAAAAAAU